UGACUUUUUCCAAACUUCAUUUUUUCGAUUUAUUGCCGCUUAAAUCGGGCUAUCGGACCAUAGUGCGCCGCAUCCAGUUUGUCCGCAUCCAUUUUUGGAUUUUUGGCCAAACGUUGUACCGACCUACGUCACAGGGUAAACAAACCUCACGAAUCAAGAUGCAAACACCUCCUUCCUCUUAUUUUUCUCCAUGGUGUUGUUAUGGUUGUUAUCAGCUCAGAGUUAGUCAAAUCUCAGUCAGCCUUCUUGCCUUGGCCUAAUGCUACAGUGCAGUCAUAUGUUCGCAAUUACAUUACCAGUUCUCUUUUACUACUUAGUACUACAUUAUUAGUAUUUAUCAGUGCUUGCUUACGAAACAACGAUGUUACCGUAUCCCGGUAGAUUGAGCGUAUUUUGUUUCUGCACUUCUUCCUCCUUCGCAUUCAUCCUGUUUCUUCAGUUGAUUCCGAUUCAUAGUCGCUUCAAUGUGUAUGAAAAUAUACUUUGGGUCUUCCCUCUGUACUACCUCAUUUUGAACUUAGUGCUGAUGAUUUUUCUGAGAGGCUUUGCGCUUCAAAUUGCAAUCCGAGCUUCUUUCUUGGGCAUGAUAUUUGCAGCGGGCAUUUUUAUACAGCUCCUUGCUUCAUCAACUCUUCAACCAUUCGGAUGGUAAUGAAACAAUUAAUAGUUCAAGCCAGCAGUAGUGUAAAAUUUGGCUGCGGGUGAGGCACCCAAUUAGCACAGAUUGCAAUAAAUUGAACUUGCAUGAUACCUACAAUUAUUGCCACUGCAUCAGAAAGUCGUGUAUGUUGCCUGUUUACCAAUUGAAGGAACAUCACUUUUCAAAGUUUUUUGCAAUAAAUUGAAAUAAGUCACAAUUUCUCAUUGUAUCACAGCUUACUGUCUCUCUGACACAUGGAUUAGUCGUAUUUUGUUCGGAGGCAACAAUCGCAUUUUGUUCGAAGUUGUUUUGUGUUGUGAGGGCGGGGCUUAUUUUCGCGCGCAAAAUUUGGGAACCCCUACAGCAACAUUGUUGUACAACAACUUCAACGUGCUCAGAGGCAAGUCGUCUUUAUGUUGUUGCCCAAGACAACGCUGUUUUCUAACCUACAAAUGGAAUUUGCUUUCUCAUUGGUUGUUCAGAAUCACGCAAAAGAAACAAGAAAAAAAACAGAAACAAUUUGUUGUUUCGAACAAAAUAUGACUAUUACAUUUUGCAUUAAGGAACCACUAUCUAGUUGUGUUUUGUUCGAAACAACAAAGUGUUUCUGUUUUCUUUCUUGUUUCUUUUACGUGAUUCUGAGUAAUCAAUGAGAGGGCAAAUUCGAAUUUUAGGUUAGAUAACAGCGUUGUCUUGGGCAGCAACAUAAAAACGACUUGCUCUGAGCACGUUGCAGUUGAUGUACAACAAUGUUGCUUCAGUGGUUCCCAAGUUCUCCCCGCGAAAAUAAGCCCCCCCCCCCACAAUACAAAAGAACUUCAAAUGAAUGCAAUUGUUGCUUGUUUUCACAACAUGUUGCAAGCGUUGUCUUCGAACAAAAUACGACUUUUGCUUAGGGAAACCAAUGGCAUGUAUGUUGUUUCUAAAAUGAGCCAGCAAUAGUGGUUCCUUCUUGCAAAAUGUAAUCCACAUGUAACUCAUAUUGUUGUUGAUCGUUCAGAAUUGGCAUUUAGGUACUGACCUUUUGCAAUUUUGAGGUAAAGAAAUUUCAAUCUUAUUUCAGUAUUUGUAUUGUGCUAAUUGGACAGGGGAAGGAAAUACUAUAAACAUCUAAAAAUGAAGCAAUGCCCGGUGGUGCCCAACCCAGGUUCUUCAUACCCGCAACUAUUCACUUUGAAAAAGGGGGGGUCGUUUUUUUUGACCUUCCCCUAGGAUUUCUACUUUCUCCCAAGUAUUGACUCCCCGUCCAGAUAUGUUCCUCGAUUUGAUUCCCCCCCCCCCCCAAAAAAAAGAAUUCGGGUUUGUGACCUUCCCUUUCCAGGGAUUUACACUUCCGCUGACUUUUUCCCUAAUUAUGACCACUCCCACCGAAUUCUCGU
rnacentral:lncRNA from 1 species